rnacentral:rRNA from 1 species
UUAUGAAUAAGGAUCGGCUAACUCCGUGCCAGCAGCCGCGGUAAUACGGAGGAUCCGAGCGUUAUCCGGAUUUAUUGGGUUUAAAGGGAGCGUAGGUGGACUGGUAAGUCAGUUGUGAAAGUUUGCGGCUCAACCGUAAAAUUGCAGUUGAUACUGUCAGUCUUGAGUACAGUAGAGGUGGGCGGAAUUCGUGGUGUAGCGGUGAAAUGCUUAGAUAUCACGAAGAACUCCGAUUGCGAAGGCAGCUCACUGGACUGCAACUGACACUGAUGCUCGAAAGUGUGGGUAUCAAACAGGAUUAGAUACCCUGGUAGUCCACACAGUAAACGAUGAAUACUCGCUGUUUGCGAUAUACAGUAAGCGGCCAAGCGAAAGCGUUAAGUAUUCCACCUGGGGAGUACGCCGGCAACGGUGAAACUCAAAGGAAUUGACGGGGGCCCGCACAAGCGGAGGAACAUGUGGUUUAAUUCGAUGAUACGCGAGGAACCUUACCCGGGCUUAAAUUGCAGUGGAAUGAUGUGGAAACAUGUCAGUGAGCAAUCACCACUGUGAAGGUGCUGCAUGGUUGUCGUCAGCUCGUGCCGUGAGGUGUCGGCUUAAGUGCCAUAACGAGCGCAACCCUUAUCUUUAGUUACUAACAGGUUAUGCUGAGGACUCUAGAGAGACUGCCGUCGUAAGAUGUGAGGAAGGUGGGGAUGACGUCAAAUCAGCACGGCCCUUACGUCCGGGGCUACACACGUGUUACAAUGGGGGGUACAGAAGGCAGCUAGCGGGUGACCGUAUGCUAAUCCCAAAAGCCUCUCUCAGUUCGGAUCGAAGUCUGCAACCCGACUUCGUGAAGCUGGAUUCGCUAGUAAUCGCGCAUCAGCCAUGGCGCGGUGAAUACGUUCCCGGGCCUUGUACACACCGCCCGUCAAGCCAUGGGAGCCGGGGGUACCUGAAGUACGUAACCGCAAGGAUCGUCCUAGGGUAAAACUGGUGACUGGGGCUAAGUCGUAACAAGGUAGCCGUACCGGAAGGUGCGGCUG